AAGCUUCCCCCCGGUACGGUUGCCUUGCCUAUCGUAGGGAACUGGUUGCAGGUCUCUUACACUCUUCUUCUACACUCAUCAAUCUUUACCAAUCUCCAGCUUCACUCAGAGCACUGCGCCGGGUUAAUUGAUCGUCGUCUAGAGGACAUGAUAGGCAUUCAAAUUUGAUGCAUCUGAGUCAAGGUACUCGGAUGAGGUGCCCUAAGUCGAAACAAUUCUAAGGACUUACCGUUGGUACAAAAACUCUCUCGAAUGCAUUUGAGAUGCUGUGCCCCUUCUUCGGAGUCGUAAACAGCCGCCGGUAACCUGCUAAUUGAUGACUUCGAU
rnacentral:lncRNA from 1 species